UGUGGAUAGGGGAGAAAUUCCAAUCGAACCCGGAGAUAGCUGGUUCUCCUCGAAAUAGCUUUAGGGCUAGCCUCGAUUUAGUCUUAUGGAGGUAGAGCACUGAAUUUCCGCGGGGGCGUCAAAGCUUACCAAAGAAUAUCAAACUCCGAAUGCCAUGUAGAUGAUGAACGGGAGUCAGACUGCACGAGAUAAGUUGGGCAGUCAAAAGGGAAAGAGCCCAGACCGCCAGCUAAGGUCCCAAAGUGUGUGUUAAGUGGAAAAGGAUGUGGGAUCUCCAAGACAACUAGGAUGUUGGCUCAGAAGCAGCCACACAUUCAAAGAGUGCGUAACAGCUCACUAGUCGAGAGGUCCUGCGCCGAAAAUGUCCGGGGCUGAAACACAACACCGAAGCUGCGGAAUUGCGAAUGCAAUUGGUAGAGGAGCAUUCUUAAUACCGACGAAGCUGUACCGGAAGGAGCAGUGGAGGGAUAAGAAGAGAGAAUGCCGGAAUGAGUAGCGAGAGAGAGGUGGGAAUCCUCUCGGCCGAAUAUCCAAGGUUUCCAGAGUAAAGCUGAUCUGCUCUGGGUAAGUCGGGGCCUAAGGCGAGGUCAAAAGACGUAGCCGAUGGACAACAGGUUUAGAUUCCUGUACCGCAUAUAAACAGAACUGUGGGGACGCAUGGGGAGAGCAUGGGCCGGGAAUGGAAAUACCGGUGCAAGCGAAGGAGGUGUGCAGCCGGCAAAUCCGCUGCAUGAGCCGAAAGCGUGACGCGGAGCGAAAUGAAAGUAGCGAAGCAUGUGAGCCCUGUGCCGAGAAAAGCCGCUAUAGCUUUAUAUGUGCCCGUACCGUAAACCGACACAGGUGGAUGAGGAGAGAAUCCUAAGGCCGGCGGAAGAAGUAUUGUUAAGGAACUCGGCAAAAUGACCCCGUAACUUCGGGAGAAGGGGUGCCCACGGGAGUGGGCCGCAGAGAAUAGGCUCAAGCAACUGUUUAGCAAAAACACAGGUCUAUGCGAAACCGAAAGGUGAAGUAUAUGGGCUGACGCCUGCCCGGUGCUGGAAGGUUAAGAGGAGAGGUUAGCUUCGGCGAAGCUUUGAAUUUAAGCCCCAGUAAACGGCGGCCGUAACUAUAACGGUCCUAAGGUAGCGAAAUUCCUUGUCGGGUAAGUUCCGACCC
rnacentral:rRNA from 1 species